UACGGUAGGUGGCGAGCGUUGUCCGGAAUUACUAGGCGUAAAGGGCAGGCAGGCGGAUCCAUAAGUUUAUCGUUUAAGGCGUCGGCUUAACCGGCGUAGGGCGGUAGAUACUGUGGAUCUGGAAUGCGGUUGGGGAAGACAGAAUUCCUGGUGUAGCGGUGGAAUGCGCAGAGAUCAGGAGGAAUACCGAAGGCGAAGGCAGUCUUCCAAGCCGUUAUUGACGCUCAACUGCGAAGGUGUGGGUAUCAAACAGGAUUAGAUAUCCUGGUAGU
rnacentral:rRNA from 1 species